UGGGGAAUUUUGGGCAAUGGGCGCAAGCCUGAUCCAGCAAUGCCGCGUGCAGGAUGAAGGCCUUCGGGUUGUAAACUGCUUUUGUACGGAGCGAAACGGUCUGCCCUAAUACGGCGGGCUAAUGACGGUACCGUAAGAAUAAGCACCGGCUAACUACGUGCCAGCAGCCGCGGUAAUACGUAGGGUGCGAGCGUUAAUCGGAAUUACUGGGCGUAAAGCGUGCGCAGGCGGUGAUAUAAGACAGAUGUGAAAUCCCCGGGCUCAACCUGGGACCCGCAUUUGUGACUGUAUCGCUAGAUUACGGUAGAGGGGGAUGGAAUUCCGCGUGUAGCAGUGAAAUGCGUAGAUAUGCGGAGGAACACCGAUGGCGAAGGCAAUCCCCUGGACCUGUACUGACGCUCAUGCACGAAAGCGUGGGGAGCAAACAGGAUUAGAUACCCUGGUAGUCCACGCCCUAAACGAUGUCAACUGGUUGUUGGGUCUUCACUGACUCAGUAACGAAGCUAACGCGUGAAGUUGACCGCCUGGGGAGUACGGCCGCAAGGUUG
rnacentral:rRNA from 1 species